rnacentral:snoRNA from 14 species
CAGUCCAAUGAUGACAAUGUGACAUGGACCAAGGAUUGUGAUUAAUCCAAUCAAUGCACACCAGAUUACUAAU